AAUAUAGCAUCAGUGACAAAUAACAAGUCCCUGUUGGAGUGAGUCAGAGCAUUUCCAUAGAGAGCCACUUUGCAUCAGCAGCACCAUGCUCCAGUGCUCUGGGAGAGUUUAUAGUCCUGAGAGUUGAAGACUGGAUGACUGACAGCUGUCCUUCAUGACAACAGAAGACACAGAAAUCCUCCUCAUCAAAAACAUGACUUUGAUCUCCGUCCUCAUCUGGACUCUCCUCUGCUGCUGCUUCACAGAGUCCAGAGGACAGGUCACAGUGACUCAGUCUGGAGCAGUGAGCUCUGCUCUGGGAGCCUCUGUCACCAUCACAUGUAGGAUCAAUCCACAAGUUAAUUUUUGGAAUAACCAACACCUUUUAGCCUGGUACCAACAGAGAGAUGGAGAAAAACCUAAACUGAUGAUUUACUUUGCUACCACUCGAGUAUCAGGGAUUCCAGGUCGUUUUACAGGCAGUGGAUCAAAGUCUGACUUCACUCUGACCAUCAGUGGAGUCCAGACUGAAGAUGCAGCAGUUUACUACUGUCAGAGUGAACACUAUAUCAACAGUCAGUAUCUGUUCACACAGUGAUAAAGCGUCGUACAAAAACCUCCCUCGGUCAGACUGAACAGAAACUGAACUGACUGCUGCAGCUGGAAGCUACUGCAGAGACUGAUACAGUUCACUGAGGACACACACACACACACACACACACACACACACACAGAAACCAUGACCUGAUCAUGAACUGCACACUCACUAACAUAUCUGGAUGAGCAUGGUUCACAUGACAGUUUCCAGGGGAAGGAGCUUUAACACAGAAUUCAUGGACUUUCUUUUAACAUGAUGUCUUCACCUCCUCCAGCUCCAUGAAUCCCAAUCAAACACACAGACACAGAGCAGUUACAAACACAGUAUAUAACACAGUGAAUAAACGAUGAAGCAAAGAAUAAAUGAUAAACCAAGGACUCGUACUAAUUUGAUUCUCACUGCACACAUAACUUACAACCAGAUAUUUACCAACAACAUUAUCCAAUAAUACAUUUUCUGUGAUACGCAGUUCAACAACAAAGAACAACCACAGUACAAACUCUUCCACAGUAGUCUGUUGCUUAUUGCCUCAGUAUCCUUUCA